rnacentral:rRNA from 1 species
UACGGAGGGUGCAAGCAUUGAUCGGAAUUACUGGGCGUAAAGGGCGCGUAGGCGGUUUGGAAAGUCAGAUGUGAAAUUCCGGGGCUCAACCCCGGAGCUGCAUUUGAAACUACUAAUGCUAGAGUGCAGUUAGGGAAAACGGAAUUCCACGUGUAGCGGUGAAAUGCGUAGAUAUGUGGAAGAACACCGGUGGUGAAGACGGUUUUCUGGGCUGUAACUGACGCUGAGGCGCGAAAGCAAGGGGAGCAAACAGG